rnacentral:rRNA from 1 species
CGGCGGACGGGUGAGUAACGCGUAGGAAUCUACCCAGUAGUGGGGGGACAACUUGGGGAAACUCAAGCUAAUACCGCAUACGCCCUAUGGGGGAAAGCGGGGGACCUUCGGGCCUCGUGCUAUUGGAUGAGCCUGCGUCGGAUUAGCUAGUUGGUGGGGUAAGAGCCCACCAAGGCGACGAUCCGUAGCUGGUCUGAGAGGAUGAUCAGCCACGCUGGAACUGAGACACGGUCCAG